rnacentral:rRNA from 1 species
GAUGAACGCUGGCGGCGUGCCUAAUACAUGCAAGUCGAGCGAACGGACGAGAAGCUUGCUUCUCUGAUGUUAGCGGCGGACGGGUGAGUAACACGUGGAUAACCUACCUAUAAGACUGGGAUAACUUCGGGAAACCGGAGCUAAUACCGGAUAAUAUUUUGAACCGCAUGGUUCAAAAGUGAAAGACGGUCUUGCUGUCACCUAUAGAUGGAUCCGCGCUGCAUUAGCUAGUUGGUAAGGUAACGGCUUACCAAGGCAACGAUGCAUAGCCGACCUGAGAGGGCGAUCGGCCACACUGGAACUGAGACACGGUCCAGACUCCUACGGGAGGCAGCAGUAGGGAAUCUUCCGCAAUGGGCGAAAGCCUGACGGAGCAACGCCGCGUGAGUGAUGAAGGUCUUCGGAUCGUAAAACUCUGUUAUUAGGGAAGAACAUAUGUGUAAGUAACUGUGCACAUCUUGACGGUACCUAAUCAGAAAGCCACGGCUAACUACGUG